GACAGAGGUGCCGAGCGUUAGGCGGAAUCACUGGGCUUAAAGCGUGUGUAGGCGGAUAGGUAAGUACCUUGUGAAAUCCCACGGCUCAACCGUGGAACUGCUCGGUAUACUGCUCGUCUUGAGCCAACUAGGGGCGACCGGAACAAACGGUGGAGCGGUGAAAUGCGUAGAUAUCGUUUGGAACGCCGAUGGUGAAAACAGGUCGCUGGGGUUGUGCUGACGCUGAGACACGAAAGCCAGGGGAGCGAACGGG
rnacentral:rRNA from 1 species